GCGGGAGUAGUUCAAUGGUAGAACCUUAGCCUUCCAAGCUAAUGAUGCGGGUUCGAUCCCCGUCUCCCGCUCCA
rnacentral:tRNA from 4 species